rnacentral:rRNA from 1 species
UGUAGUCAUAUGCUUGUCUCAAAGAUUAAGCCAUGCAUGUCUAAGUAUAAACAAUUUUGUACUGUGAAACUGCGAAUGGCUCAUUAUAUCAGUUAUAGUCUACUCGAUAGUACCUUACUACUUGGAUAACCGUAAUAAUUCUAGAGCUAAUACAUGCACAAAUACCCAACUGCUUGUCGGACGGGUAGCAUUUAUUAGAUUGAAACCAAUGCAGUCUUCGGGCUGGUAUUGUGUUGAGUCAUAAUAACUGUGCGGAUCGCACUCAGUGCGAUAAAUCGAUUGAGUUUCUGCCCUAUCAGCUUUGGAUGGUAGGAUAUGGGCCUACCAUGGCAUCAACGGGUAACGGGGAAUGGGGCGGGGGCGGCGGGCCGGGCGCGGGGCGCGGCGGGCG